rnacentral:misc_RNA from 1 species
AUCUUAAACUAUCUAGUGUUUUGUAACUACGGUAUUUUGUUCGAUUAAGCCGAACUGAAGGAAGAACAUGAGGAUUCCCAAGGACUCUCCAUUGGAUCCCCAUAUAAAAUUCGCGGUUCUUGGAAAGACUCUCUCACGAAUGGAACAUUGAAAUGUGUUUGAUAAAUUUGUUUAAAAAUAAGAGUUCGUAGGAUUUUUGUGAAAAUUAACAUCAG